rnacentral:rRNA from 1 species
UACGUAGGGGGCAAGCGUUGUCCGGAAUCAUUGGGCGUAAAGAGCGUGUAGGCGGCCAGACAAGUCUGCUGUGAAAACUCGAGGCUCAACCUCGAGCUGUCGGUGGAAACUGUCUGGCUAGAGUCCGGAAGAGGAGAGUGGAAUUCCUGGUGUAGCGGUGAAAUGCGCAGAUAUCAGGAAGAACACCAACGGCGAAGGCAGCUCGCUAGGACGGUACUGACGCUGAGACGCGAAAGCGUGGGGAGCGAACAGG